rnacentral:rRNA from 1 species
UGGGGAAUAUUGGGCAAUGGGCGCAAGCCUGACCCAGCCACGCCGCGUGAGUGAUGAAGGCCUUCGGGUUGUAAAGCUCUGUGGGGAGAGAAGAAAAACUGCUGGCUAAUAUCCAUCAGGUUGACGGUAUCUCCUUAGCAAGCACCGGCUAACUCUGUGCCAGCAGCCGCGGUAAGACAGAGGGUGCAAACGUUGCUCGGAUUUACUGGGCGUAAAGCGCAUGUAGGCGGGCGAAUAAGUCGGGUGUGAA